AAAGGCAGCUCAAUGCCUCGUGCUCCAUCCACUCUAAAACGUUUUAUCCCGAGAAACUUUUUGUUCGUUUCUUCUUCUUCCAUCCGAGAAAAAUCUCGGACAAAAAAAAAUUCCUCUGCUCAUUCAUUUUGUAUAGAGGAAAUAGCAUUCUAAAGACGAAACUAGUCUCCAGCUUUUGAUUUUUUGCUCUGUUUCUGUCUUUUGUAUUUUUUUCGUUUUGGCUGAAGAAGAAACUCAGGAGUCCAUAUUUAUAUACAAAAUGGGAGUGAAAGUAGCAACAACCUCAACCUUUCAUCAAUGGGUAGCUCAUCCCAUUGUUCAUCAUUCCUCUUCCCUUUCUCAAACCCUAGCUUCCUCCUCCUCCUCUGCCGUUUCAAGACGACGCAGCAUCGCAAACGACGGACGCUCUCUCUCCUGUCGUUCCGUGAUGCAUCCUUCUUCUUCUUCUUCUUCUUCUCCUCUCUUCUUCGGCACUCCUUCAACGACUAAUAAAA